UACGAGAGGCCCAAACGUUAUUCGGAAUUACUGGGCUUAAAGAGUCCGUAGGCGGCGCAGAAAGUAGGGUGUGAAAGCCCUCGGCUCAACCGAGGAAUUGCGCUCUAAACUACUGUGCUUGAGGAACCUAGAGGUGAGCGGAACUGAUGGUGGAGCGGUGAAAUGCGUUGAUAUCAUCAGGAACACCGGAGGCGAAGGCGGCUCACUGGGGGGUAUCUGACGCUGAGGGACGAAAGCCAGGGGAGCGAACGGG
rnacentral:rRNA from 1 species